UCCCUGGAAUCUCAGUGGUAAAGAAUCUGCCUGCAAUGCAGGAGACCCGGGUUCGAUCCCUGGGUUGGGAA
rnacentral:tRNA from 1 species